UUGGCCCUACGGGAGGCAGCAGUGAGGAAUAUUGGUCAAUGGGCUUACGCAUGAACCAGCCAAGUCGCGUGAGGGAAGACUGCCCUAUGGGUUGUAAACCUCUUUUGUCAGGGAGCAACGCCGGCUACGUGUAGCCGGACUGAGAGCACCUGAAGAAAAAGCAUCGGCUAACUCCGUGCCAGCAGCCGCGGUAAUACGGAGGAUGCGUGCGUUAUCCGGAUUUAUUGGGAUUAGAGGGUGCGUAGGCGGCAUGCCAAGUCAGCGGAAAAAUCGCGGGGCUCACCCU
rnacentral:rRNA from 1 species